AGUGCUGAUAAUGGGAGGUGACGCCCCCCAG
rnacentral:sRNA from 1 species